GAGAGAGGCUUGCCUGCAACGGAGGUUGCUAACCACCGUAGUCCGGGUUGAACUCCCGGGCUCUACUCG
rnacentral:tRNA from 1 species